UACGGGGGGGGCAAGCGUUGUUCGGAAUUACUGGGCGUAAAGGGCUCGUAGGCGGCCAACUAAGUCGGAUGUGAAAUCCCCAGGCUUAACCUGGGAACUGCAUCCGAUACUGGAUGGCUUGAAUCCGGGAGAGGGAUGCAGAAUUCCAGGUGUAGCGGUGAAAUGCGUAGAUAUCUGGAGGAACACCGAUGGCGAAGGCAGGUCUCUGGGCCAUAACUGACGCUGAGAAGCGAAAGCAUGGGGAGCGAACAGG
rnacentral:rRNA from 1 species